rnacentral:rRNA from 1 species
GAUUGAACGCUGGCGGCAGGCCUAACACAUGCAAGUCGAACGGUAACAGGAAGAAGCUUGCUUCUUUGCUGACGAGUGGCGGACGGGUGAGUAAUGUCUGGGAAACUGCCUGAUGGAGGGGGAUAACUACUGGAAACGGUAGCUAAUACCGCAUAACGUCGCAAGACCAAAAAGGGGGACCUUCGGGCCUCUUGCCAUCGGAUGUGCCCAGAUGGGAUUAGCUAGUAGGUGGGGUAACGGCUCACCUAGGCGACGACCCCUAGCUGGUCUGAGAGGAUGACCAGCCACACUGGAACUGAGACACGGUCCAGACUCCUACGGGAGGCAGCAGUGGGGAAUAUUGCACAAUGGGCGCAAGCCUGAUGCAGCCAUGCCGCGUGUAUGAAGAAGGCCUUCGGGUUGUAAAGUACUUUCAGCGGGGAGGAAGGGAGUAAAGUUAAUACCUUUGCUCAUUGACGUUACCCGCAGAAGAAGCACCGGCUAACUCCGUG